UAAAUAUUUUAACGAGGAACAAUUGGAGGGCAAGUCUGGUGCCAGCAGCCGCGGUAAUUCCAGCUCCAAUAGCGUAUACUAAAAUUGUUGCGGUUAAAAAGCUCGUAGUUGCAUUUGUGCGCCGCGCUGUCGGUGCACCGCAUCCGCGGUGAUACUGACACGUCUGCGGAGCAUAUCGUCGGUGAGCCGGCGGUAAAACGCCGGUUCAAUAUCAAAAUCCUAUCGCGGUUCUCUUCGGUGAGUGUCGAGAUGGGCCGACAAUUUUACUUUGAACAAAUUAGAGUGCUCAAAGCGGGCUCAAAAUGCCGCUUGAAUAUUUCGUGCAUGGAAUAAUAGAAUAUGAUCUCGGUUCUAUUUUGUUGGUUUUCAGAACUCCGAGGUAAUGAUUAAUAGGGAUAACUGGGGGCAUUCGUAUUGCGAGUUAGAGGUGAAAUUCUUGGAUCGUCGCAAGACGAACAUCAGCGAAAGCAUUUGCCAAAGGUGUUUUCAUCAAUCAAGAACGAAAGUAGAGGUUCGAAGGCGAUUAGAUACCGCCCUAGUUCUAACCGUAAAUAUGUCGUCUAGCGAUCCGCCGACGUUAAUACAAUGGCUCGGCGGGCAGCUUCCGGGAAACCAAAGAUUUUGGACUCCGGGGGGAGUAUGGUUGCAAAGCUGAAACUUAAAGGAAUUGACGGAAGGGCACCACCAGGAGUGGAGCCUGCGGCUUAAUUUGACUCAACACGGGAAAUCUCACCAGGCCCGGACACCGGAAGGAUUGACAGAUUAACAGCUCUUUCUUGAUUCGGUGGGUGGUGGUGCAUGGCCGUUCUUAGUUGUGGAGCGAUUUGUCUGGUUAAUUCCGGUAACGAACGAGACUCUAGCCUGCUAAAUAGGCGUCGUCAUUUAGGUGUGCGCGAUUUCGGUCGCGCAACUCACUGGCGACGUAUUAAAAUUCUUCUUAGAGGGACCGGCGUCUUCGAGCCGCACGAGAUUGAGCAAUAACAGGUCUGUGAUGCCCUUAGAUGUCCUGGGCCGCACGCGCGCUACACUGAAGGAAUCAGCAUGUUCUCCCUGGCCUAGAGGCCCGGGCAACCCGUUGAAACUCCUUCGUGCUGGGGAUUGGGGUUUGCAAUUAUCCCCCAUAAACGAGGAAUUCCUAGUAAGCGCGAGUCAUAAGCUCGCGUUGAUUACGUCCCUGCCCUUUGUACACACCGCCCGUCGCUACUACCGAUUGAAUGAUUUAGUGAGGUCUUCGGACCGACACGCGGUGGCUUCACGGCCGUCGGCGUUGCUGGGAAGUUGACCAAACUU
rnacentral:rRNA from 1 species